GAUGAACGCUGGCGGCGUGCCUAAUACAUGCCAGUCGAGCGAACGGACGAGAAGCUUGCUUCUCUGAUGUUAGCGGCGGACGGGUGAGUAACACGUGGAUAACCUACCUAUAAGACUGGGAUAACUUCGGGAAACCGUAGCUAAUACCGGAUAAUAUUUUGAACCGCAUGGUUCAAAAGUGAAAGACGGUCUUGCUGUCACUUAUAGAUGGAUCCGCGCUGCAUUAGCUAGUUGGUAAGGUAACGGCUUACCUAGGCAACGAUGCAUAGCCGACCUGAGAGGGUGAUCGGCCACACUGGAACUGAGACACGGUCCAGACUCCUACGGGAGGCAGCAGUAGGGAAUCUUCCGCAAUGGGCGAAAGCCUGACGGAGCAACGCCGCGUGAGUGAUGAAGGUCUUCGGAUCGUAAAACUCUGUUAUUAGGGAAGAACAUAUGUGUAAGUAACUGUGCACAUCUUGACGGUACCUAAUCAGAAAGCCACGGCUAACUACGUG
rnacentral:rRNA from 1 species